GACGAACGCUGGCGGCGUGCUUAACACAUGCAAGUCGAACGGAAAGGCCCUGCUUGCAGGGUGCUCGAGUGGCGAACGGGUGAGUAACACGUGGGUGAUCUGCCCCUUACUUUGGGAUAAGCCUGGGAAACUGGGUCUAAUACUGGAUAGGACCAUGCUGUAGGUGGUGUGGUGGAAAGAUUAGUUUCGGUAAGGGAUGAGCUCGCGGCCUAUCAGCUUGUUGGUGGGGGAAUGGCCUACCAAGGCGUCGACGGGUAGCCGGCCUGAGAGGGUGGACGGCCACAUUGGGACUGCGGUACGGCCCAGACGCCUACGGGGGGCAGCAGUGGGGAAUAUUGCACAAUGAGCGCAAGCCUGAUGCAGCGACGCCGCGUGGUGGAUGACGGCCUUCGGGUUGUAAACUCCUUUCAGCCAUGACGAAGCCCUUGUGGUGACGGUAGUGGUAAAAGAAGCACCGGCUAACUACGUG
rnacentral:rRNA from 1 species